rnacentral:rRNA from 1 species
UACGGAGGGGGCUAGCGUUGUUCGGAAUUACUGGGCGUAAAGGGCGCGUAGGCGGCCAUCUAAGUCAGACGUGAAAUCCCCCGGCUCAACCUGGGAACUGCGUCUGAUACUGGACGGCUUGAGUUUGGGAGAGGGAUGUAGAAUUCCAGGUGUAGCGGUGAAAUGCGUAGAUAUCUGGAGGAAUACCGGUGGCGAAGGCGGCAUCCUGGACCAAUACUGACGCUGAGGCGCGAAAGCUAGGGGAGCAAACGGG